UGAGCAGUCUGCAGUCGGCAUGCGU
rnacentral:misc_RNA from 1 species